rnacentral:lncRNA from 1 species
GAAUCAGGACGUGCUUGCCCCUGAAGGUUAAAGCUGAUGUUUGCCCCCCAAGGAAACCUCUUUCCAUCAAAGCAUCUCUCACCAUCAUCCCUGGCCUACAGAGGGCAUCCGCUUUUCAAGAAUGCCAACUCCUCUCUCACCAAUGUGUGUUUUUUCUGAAGGGUUCCAGAAGCAACACUUUGUUAGGAGAUGCUGCAGAAGCCAGAGGAUUGCCUGAUGCCUCCCAGCUGAAUCAGCAAAGCUUUCCUCUAAUAGCGUUGCUUGAUUAAGGGGUUUUGCUUCCCAAGGAAUGGCCUUACUGUUCAAAUUCAGAUGCACUAGGCAAGUUCAGAAGACAAGAGUGAAGAUGAGACGCCAACAGCCUCACACUGAGGACGAUUCUUUCUCCAGCUCCCCACUGCACAAGCAAGCUUGGUAUUCAUCAAUAUGACAUGGUCUGGAAGUUUUCCUGUAUAUUCAUCAGCUUGGGUUACUAAACAAAGUACAAAAUA